CAGUGCGUGAAUUUUUCUUGCUACCUGAUUAAAAGAUAUUACGAGACGUGAAUAAUCAAAGUUUAUUGAUUGGUUAGGACAAUCCAAACCUAGUAAAUGUCCUUAAAUCCCGUAGAGUAUCGGAUUUGUCCUCUCUAUUUUAGCAAUUAGAUUUUGCCUGGUCAUUAAUCAUGCAUAUUCAUGAUAUUGGUACACAGGUAACUUUUAUCUAUAAAUAGUCGAAUC
rnacentral:lncRNA from 1 species